rnacentral:rRNA from 1 species
UGGGGAAUUUUGCACAAUGGGGGAAACCCUGAUGCAGCGACGCCGCGUGAUUUAGAAGGCCUUCGGGUUGUAAAAAUCUUUUGUAUGGGAAGAAAAUGACAGUACCAUACGAAUAAGGACCGGCUAAUUACGUGCCAGCAGCCGCGGUAAUACGUAAGGUCCGAGCGUUGUCCGGAAUCAUUGGGCGUAAAGCGCGCGUAGGCGGUUUGUUAGGUCAGGAGUUAAAUCUGGGGGCUCAACCCCUAUCCGCUCCUGAUACCGGCAGGCUUGAGUCUGGUAGGGGAAGGCGGAAUUCCAAGUGUAGCGGUGAAAUGAGGAGAUAUUUGGAAGAAGACCGGUGGCGAAGGCGGCCUUCUGGGCCACGACUGACGCUGAGGCGCGAAAGCUAGGGGAGCGAACAGG